rnacentral:rRNA from 1 species
GACGAACGCUGGCGGCGUGCCUAACACAAGCAAGUUGAGCGACGAACCAGGGCUUGCCCUGGGGCAAAGCAGCGAACGGGUGAGUAACACGUGGGUAACCUACCCCGAUAACCGGGACAACCCGAGGAAACUCGGGCUAAUACCGGAUGUGCUCACUGGACUUCGGUUCAGUGCGUAAAGGAAGCUUCGGCCUCCGUAUCGGGAGGGGCCCGCGGCCCAUUAGUUUGUUGGUGAGGUAACGGCUCACCAAGACCGCGAUGGGUAGCUGGUCUGAGAGGACGAUCAGCCACACUGGGACUGAGACACGGCCCAGACUCCUACGGGAGGCAGCAGUGGGGAAUCUUGCGCAAUGCGCGAAAGCGUGACGCAGCAACGCCGCGUGGGGGAAGAAGGCCUUCGGGUGUAAACCCCUUUCAGGAGGGACGAAGGUUCGGCGGUGAAUAGCCGUCCGGACUGACGGCACCUCCACAAGAAGCCCCGGCUAACUACGUG